UACGGGGGGGAGCAAGCGUUGUUCGGAUUUACUGGGCGUAAAGGGCGCGUAGGCGGUAGCACAAGUCAGUUGUGAAAUCUCCGGGCUUAACUCGGAAAGGUCAACUGAUACUGUGCGACUAGAGUGCAGAAGGGGCAACUGGAAUUCUCGGUGUAGCGGUGAAAUGCGUAGAUAUCGAGAGGAACACCUGCGGCGAAGGCGGGUUGCUGGGCUGACACUGACGCUGAGGCGCGAAAGCCAGGGGGAGCGAACGGG
rnacentral:rRNA from 1 species